rnacentral:lncRNA from 1 species
GUCAACACCCCCAGAGAGCGGAGCCCCUGGCUGCCCCUGAAGACACGGAAGACGGGCAGGAAGGUAGGGGAGGGGCAGCGAGGCCAGCUCCUGCCACCCCUGCUGUCCCCAGCCCUGGCCCAAGGCACCAGGACUUCUGACGGGGCCCACGCUGGGCACAUAGCCAAUGGAGUAGAGGAACAGGUGCCGGAGCCAGGACACCUGCUGGCUUGGACAAUCGCAGACACUGUGCGUGGAUGGGAGCCUAGACCCGCCCCUCAGGUGCGGCUGUCACAGAGACUUCCUGCCCGAGACCGCGGGAGGGAAGGCUGCACCUGAUGCGCCCCAGCCUGCCGUCCAGAGGGAGGUCUGCGAGAGGUGUCCCCUACUCCAUCAGCAGAGGCCGGGGGCGGGGCAGCAGAGCGGACUUGCCCACCCAGGGAGAGAAGCAGGUUAGCACCUCAGUGCGCCCGGGGCACC